GCUCACCUUAAGGACGCAGAGUGGCGUCAGAUUUGGAGAAGCGCCGGGGACCGUGGAGGAAGUCAUCGGCCUGGAUUUCUUUGGAUUUGCAGAUAGGGUUCCAGCAUAACUGGAAGGUGAAUUGCUGUGUUGUGGACAUUCCUCAAGAUCAAAUGUACAUAAAACCUGUCUGUAUCUACGUCUCUCCUUA